ensembl:lncRNA
GCUGCUGGGGCCGGUGGUGGCUGCAGCUCCUCUGGCCGUGCUGCAGCCCCCACCUUCCUUGGCAGCCCCUCCUCUGGCCGUGCUGCAGCCCCCGGAUUUUUUGGCAGCCCCUCUGGCCGUGCUGCAGCCCCCGGCUUCCUUCUCAGCCGCCAGCAGCCCCCAGCAGCCCCGCCUACCAGCAGGGAGAUCACGGGCUGGCAGCCCAGAGCGGGCAGUGUGAGGGACGGGAGGAGAGCAGCCCCGGGAGGGAUCAGGGGCCAGUAGAAGCAGAUGAUGAAGAAGAGGAUAUAGAGAUAGUUGUUGUAUAGAUAGUAAGAGGGUAUGAUGAUAGUUGAUAGCGACGUAGAUUAGUUGAUAGCGACGUAGAUUAGUUGAUAGCGACGUUGAUAGCUGAUGGUUGUAUACAGGUAGCGAACAGAUAGCAGAUAGCUAGGUGGGUUAUUGGUAGAGAGGUAGUUUGUGGAUAGCAAGGUAGUUAGCAGCAAGCAAGAGUUAGUAGCAAUGUAGUUAGAUCAUAGCCAGAUAGCUGAUAGGGGGAUGCAGGAUAGAAAGAUGGGUGACUGGGAGAUAGUUAAUUUAUAGACUGCAAUAGUGAAAGUUGCUGAAAAGAACUUUGUCUCUGUUUCAGAUGAGCCACUGCGCCCUGGGACACCACUCUCCCCUCAGUACGAUGAAGACCAACGCCUGAUGCUGCUCCAUCACCAGCAGAAGAACAGCAGCUCUGCAGAGACCCGUCCUGCCAGCAGAGCAUCACGGAGAAGAAGACGCGCCUUCUGCUCACAGGAAGAGGAGUCCUUGCACAUCACUUGACCCCCUCCUCCAGGAGGAAGCAGGAUCAGCGCCCGGUGCUGCCCCAGCACCGGCAGAAGAACAGCGGCUCUUGGAAGCGUGACCUGCUGGGAGAUCGUCGGGGAGAAGAGGACGCGCCUUCUGCGCCGAGGGAGUCUUCUCCUGUCAUCCGAUCUUCAAUGAGACGAUGCUCAGCUGCUCCGGAACAGCCACGGAGGAAACGGACGGAAGAGGAGAGCCCAGAUGACUGCGCCCGUGUGACCUUACAUACAAAGACUGAAUGCAGAGACUGAGCCAGCAAACAAUGGAGUAGAUAGCAUAGAGAGUUAGUUAACACUAAAAUGUAUUAGCAUAGCAUAGUGCAGUUGUCAAAUAGCUUUGUAAAUAAAUUCACUUUGUUCGUAUCCUUAUCUUGUGUUGUGUAAAAUGAUGGGGAUGGGUAGUCUGAUACUUCAGGAAAUAAAUGAUUUGGAA